GUAGUUGGACUCGGAAGGAAGAAUAAGAAGCCAGCUGCCAGGUCUUGUCUCAGGGCAUGGUCUCUAAUUGAAAUAUUUCAACCUCACACUUGCAUGCCGAAAAUUCGAUACAUAGAACAACAGUGCUUCUACCUAUGAUAGUUGAAUCUUUGUGUAAAGUGAAUGUAAACAAAGAAUGGCACUUUUUCACAAAAAUAAUAUUAGUUAAUUCUUUGUUUUAUGUGAUAUUGUGUGUUUUAAAGAGCUAAAAAGUUGAACUUGGCGUUUUGAACUUAAUUUGCGGUGUGUCUGGUAUUGUGUUAGUAAAAAGCAAAAUAAAACUUCUCUCCGCAUAGGGUGACAAACCAGUUCAUUAGAUGAUGUAGAUCAUGAAUCUGAAAAGCUAUUCGGAUUAGGUUAAACGAAUCCUGGCAGUGCUUGUUAUGCUGGCGAGAUCAACAAUAAAAUAAAAUUGUUGAGCCAAACGGUGUGUUAUAUUUCAAAAUGCAAAAGACGAUACCGACCAAAUAUAUCGUUCCAUUCCUUCCCUAAAACGUCAGAUAAAACUACAAGGAUCAGCCCCAUGAGGUUGUUCGAGCUAUUGAUGUGGAACAAGGCAACCAAAAUUACUAUUGAUUGAUAUUUUCAAUCAAACAGUUCAACCAAUCGCCAUGCUUUUGAAUGCACGAUUGCACGGGAGUCUUCUUGGAUUGGUCUACUACACGCGGCACCAACGUUAACUACUCGUGAGUGUAGUUCACAAACACUACACAUACUAAAUUUUGUUCCCCCAAGUAUGAACCGUACGACUCAACAAGUCAUUAUGAGGUUUUCUGAUGUACCGAACACAAAUUUGCUAUCACUACUAAGGAGUUUAGUUCAAUGCGUACCGCAAAUUUAGUUACUUAUUUAUUGAAUGUCUUCAUCUUACAAAAU